rnacentral:rRNA from 1 species
GAUGAACGCUGGCGGCGUGCCUAAUACAUGCAAGUCGAGCGAACAGACGAGGAGCUUGCUCCUCUGACGUUAGCGGCGGACGGGUGAGUAACACGUGGAUAACCUACCUAUAAGACUGGGAUAACUUCGGGAAACCGGAGCUAAUACCGGAUAAUAUAUUGAACCGCAUGGUUCAAUAGUGAAAGACGGUUUUGCUGUCACUUAUAGAUGGAUCCGCGCCGCAUUAGCUAGUUGGUAAGGUAACGGCUUACCAAGGCAACGAUGCGUAGCCGACCUGAGAGGGUGAUCGGCCACACUGGAACUGGGACACGGUCCAGACUCCUACGAGACGCAGCAGUAGCGAAUCUUCCGCAGUAGGCGAAAGCCUGACGGAGCAACGCCGCGUGAGUGAUGAAGGUCUUCGGAUCGUAAAACUCUGUUAUUAGUGAUGAACAAAUGUGUAAGUAACUAUGCACGUCUUGACGGUACCUAAUCAGAAAGCCACGGCUAACUACGUG